CAACAACAACAACCACAUCACUACCACCACCACCACCACCACGACGACAACCACAUCACCACCACCACAACAACAACAACAACCACAUCACUACCACCACCACCACAACAACAACAAUAGGGUGUGGUACCUCUCCCUACCUCCCAUCCCCGACUCUUCCCACCCUGCCCCCUGCCACCGUUCACCCUGGCGAUAGGAACGAGCCAUGAGCAGGGGGGAAGAGGAGGAGGGACAUCAUCAGCAUGCAACACACAUAACCCUGCCUUCUACUACCCCUGCCUGGUCCACCACCCCUGUCGCCGCCGCCGCCAAUGCUAUACCGUAUAGGGCCGGCGGGUGGCGCUCUGACAGGCAUCGUAAACAUCAUCAUCAGCAGCAGCAACAGGAGAAGGAGGAGGAAUAGGCAUGGCCGGGGCUCGAACGUGGACCAGCGGGAUGCUUAUGAUGUUCGCCCUGCUCUUUAGCGCCACCGUCAGGCCCACCACCACCACCACCACCAACAACAACAACAGCAUCAACACUACCAAGGAGUCUAAAGGGUUAACCACUACCACCAUCACCACCAUCACCACUACCACCACCACCAACAACAACACCAUCAACACUACCAAGGAGUCUAAAGGGUUAACCACUACCACCAUCACCACUACCACCACCAACAACAACAGCAUCAACACUACCAAGGAGUCUAAAGGGUUAACCACUACCAC